UACGAAUGGAGCAAGCGUUGUUCGGAAUCACUGGGCUUAAAGCGUGCGCAGGCGGACUUGAAAGUCAGGAGUGAAAUCCCAGGGCUCAACCCUGGAACUGCUUCUGAAACUCCAAGUCUAGAAUCCGAUAGAGGUUAGGGGAAUUCCUAGUGUAGAGGUGAAAUUCGCAGAUAUUAGGAGGAACACCAGUGGCGUAGGCG
rnacentral:rRNA from 1 species